UACGAAGGGGGCUAGCGUUGUUCGGAAUCACUGGGCGUAAAGCGCACGCAGGCGGAUCGAUAAGUCGGGGGUGAAAGCCCGGGGCUCAACCUCGGAAUUGCCUUCGAUACUGUCAGUCUCGAGUCUGGGAGAGGUGAGUGGAAUUCCUAGUGUAGAGGUGAAAUUCGUAGAUAUUAGGAAGAACACCAGUGGCGAAGGCGGCUCACUGGACCGGUACUGACGCUCAGGUGCGAAAGCGUGGGGAGCAAACAGG
rnacentral:rRNA from 1 species